AGGGGCUUAGGAUAAUGCCUUAGACCAAGGGCCUUCAAAGCCCUAAGUGGGAGUGAAAAUCCCCCAACCCCUG
rnacentral:tRNA from 1 species